GUUUUUAUAAAAUUAUAUCCAUUCGGUUUAUAUGGUAUAUACCAAAACCAAACCAUAUUGUCUAUUUCGGUUCGGUUCGGUUCGGUACGGUUCGGUUUUACCAUAUUGAACAGCCCUACCAGUAUCUAUACAUUACGAAGAAAAAAUAUGAUAUUAUACAAGUACCUGAACGGUCGGAGUUGAGUUUUACAGAUCCAUGAGUUUAAGACCAGAACAAUCGGUGGUAAUAAAGAGAGAAUGUUCUGAUAUUUUCCAGCUUUCAAUUUUCCAGAAAGAGACACCAAAGGUCUCGACAGCAAAAAAAAGAAAAAAACAACACCAAAGGUGAAUGAGUUUUUUGUCUAAGAUGUUUUAAAAUUAAGCUUUGGGCCUCGACUAUUAAUAAAAUCUAAUAAUUUUUAACAUUUGGUUUGAUUACUAUGGGCCUUUUAAAUUGAUAUUGUUUUAAUAAUAUUAUCAUUAAAAUUGAUUGCCUAAUUGAUAUUUAAUUAGAUAAUAUUAAUAUACAUUUUUAUACUAAAAAUUGGAACUAGAAUUUGAUAUUAUAAAAACAGAAAUAUCAUUGUUUAGUAUAUAAUUUGAGCAAUAAUUAUUAUAUAUUAUUGGACAAUAGUCACAAAACUAAGAAGAAAAAAAUAUGUUAUGAAAGUUAGGAAUUAAAUUUAUAAUUAAUGUGUGAAAUGGCUAUGGUACAAGUGUAUAGUUAAUUUCACAAAUUCAAUACAGUUAACAAAAAUUAUAAUAAUUUUAAUAAAUAUUAUACAUAAAAUAUAAAAAUUAAAAAAAUUCUUUCAAUUAAAAAAAGUUAUCAAACAAUAAAUAUAUCCGCGCUUUGAAAGCGCGGGUCAAAAUCUAGUAAGUACAUUAAUGUUUGAAAACGAUCUUGGUUUCAUGCGAUUUGGGAUUAUCUUCUUCUCUUAUUUUGAAAGAGUCAAUCUAUUAAGGUUUCAAAACGAUUUGUAUUUGGUUAGUAAAAUAUAACUACUAUUCUAAAUCCAUAUUUACUUUGACUUUAGUCUUUCACAUACUUUUGAAAGAUUUCAACUGGACGAUUAAAUUGAUCAGUCAAUCUUGUUGCUUUAAAUCAUUAGUGGGAAACAUGGAACAAGAUUAUAUCUAAGGACUCCUAAUUAGAUAUACCAUUGGACAAACAUUUUUUAUUAGAAUUCUUAACUAUUCAAACAAAAAAAAAUUACUAAAAUAAUGUUAAGAACUCCAAUGGUGGUAACACCAUUGGAGAUGCUCUAAGAGCAUCAUUAUCCCAAAGACCCAUUUAGGGUCUCUUAUUCUUUUUUUAAUACUUUUAAGUAGUAAAAGUGAAUUAAGAGACUUAGUUAAGAGACUUGAACAUUUAUAUGUUCCAAUGCAAGUCUCUUAAUUAAGGUUUCUUAAAACUAUUUUCAUUGAAACUUAAAUGUACUUUAAAACCUACUUUUUUUUUUAUCAAACUACUUUCAAUGAAAUAUAGAAGAGUUCAACUCCAUCAAUGGAGGAUACAAUAAAGCUACAAGGAGCCAAACAAACCAAAGCAUAGACCAAUAAACUGGACAAGCAAAUAAGAAAGUUUAACCAUCUUCAAAACAAUGUUCCUUAUAACAAUUUCACUAAUAACAAGUCCAAGGAGAUAGCAAGUAAAGUUAACCUUAUUAAGUGUAACACACUUUGCAACCUUCACCAUAUAAUCAUAGAAUCAUAGAAUUCCUAAAUAACAAUCAGAUCUAAGCCUACAUAAUAUAACUCAUGUAGUAUAACAGAAAAAUAUGAACUAUGGUCCCAUAAAUCCCUCACCUUAGCCACUUGAUGACAAGUUUUCAUUUUCUCAACUUUGGACAGAUCCGUUGUACCGCUCGUUUUCCAUGUUCCCGAACUCCAGACCCUCUCUCCUUAUAGUUGAACAUAUAUCCACGAGUCCAUAAGGUUCCUGCCAAAUAUGAGCUCAGUCCGAGCUCAUUUUCCCAACCAAACAAGACGAUCCAUCAACAUACCACUCUGUUUCACAAUGUACCAAACCGGUUCAGAAAUACAUGAAUAACUAAUAAACUGACCGUCCACUUUUCGAUCACACCGUUGAACUCUGAGUCUGCAGUGUCCCCUACAUCUGUACAAAGUUUCAGUCAGAUCAGCAUACAAAUGAACCUCCCACGCUCUCUUGAAUUUGCUGCGACAGAACAGUUGAACCUCCCAGAUUUGAGCUGCUACUUCUGAUGCUUGCGUAGGAAGCAAGGCACACCACAACGAAGUCAUUACUCCAAUGACAGAGACGUCAGUUUCUAUGGCUUCCCUGCCACGUCCUCUAUUAAUAGAAACUCCAUAUGUGAUCUCCCAAACUCAUAUCUGAUCCGGAUCUCUCUUUCGAAACUCCAUCUCAAACUGUGUACUUUUUCUUCUUCUCCACCUUUGUUUCCUUCUUCUCUAGUCUUUUAUUCAAUUGGAUUUAAAUGAGAUUUUAGAUUUAAGUCUAUGAUCACUUUUGGUAAAGAAUCAGAUUAGUGUUUUGAAACCUGUGUGCGAAGAAGACGCGGCGGCGGAGGAAAACGUGAGGUUGACGAGAAGUGAGUCUCUGAGUCGGCUGAUGGCGCCGGAGUCAUCGCGGAGAGGUCAUCGUCAGAGUCGCCGGUUGAUGGAGUCGGAGUCGUCGCUGAUAGGUCAUCGUGGAGGAGAGAUCAGCAGAUGGAGUCGGAGUCGCCGAGGAGACACGAAAGAAAGAGAGAGAAUGCUUU
rnacentral:lncRNA from 1 species